UACGAAGGGGGCUAGCGUUGCUCGGAAUCACUGGGCGUAAAGCGCACGUAGGCGGACUCUUAAGUCGGUGGUGAAAUCCUGGAGCUCAACUCCAGAACUGCCUUCGAUACUGAGAGUCUCGAGUCCGGGAGAGGUGAGUGGAACUGCGAGUGUAGAGGUGAAAUUCGUAGAUAUUCGCAAGAACACCAGUGGCGAAGGCG
rnacentral:rRNA from 1 species